ACGUAGGGGGCGAGCGUUGUUCGGAAUUACUGGGCGUAAAGGGUGCGUAGGUUGAUGUGUAAGUUGGAUGUGCAAUACUGGGGCUCAACUUCAGAACUGCAUCCAAAACUGCAUAUCUAGAGUUUGGCAGAGGUAAGCGGAAUUUCUGGUGUAGGGGUGAAAUGUAUAGAUAUCAGAAGGAACACCGGUGGCGAAGGCGGCUAACUGGGCUAUAACUGACACUGAAGCGCGAAAGCGUGGGGAGCGAACAG
rnacentral:rRNA from 1 species